rnacentral:rRNA from 1 species
GGAAGAGAAAGAAAAUUCGAUUCCCUUAGUAGCGGCGAGCGAAACGGGAAGAGCCCAAACCAACAAGCUUGCUUGUUGGGGUUGUAGGACACUCUAUACGGAGUUACAAAGGACGACAUUAGACGAAUCAUCUGGAAAGAUGAAUCAAAGAAGGUAAUAAUCCUGUAGUCGAAAAUGUUGUCUCUCUUGAGUGGAUCCUGAGUACGACGGAGCACGUGAAAUUCCGUCGGAAUCUGGGAGGACCAUCUCCUAAGGCUAAAUACUCUCUAGUGACCGAUAGUGAACCAGUACCGUGAGGGAAAGGUGAAAAGCACCCCGGAAGGGGAGUGAAAUAGAACCUGAAACCGUGUGCUUACAAGUAGUCAGAGCCCGUUAAUGGGUGAUGGCGUGCCUUUUGUAGAAUGAACCGGCGAGUUACGAUUUGAUGCAAGGUUAAGCAGUAAAUGUGGAGCCGUAGCGAAAGCGAGUCUGAAUAGGGCGUUUAGUAUUUGGUCGUAGACCCGAAACCAGGUGAUCUACCCUUGGUCAGGUUGAAGUUCAGGUAACACUGAAUGGAGGACCGAACCGACUUACGUUGAAAAGUGAGCGGAUGAACUGAGGGUAGCGGAGAAAUUCCAAUCGAACCUGGAGAUAGCUGGUUCUCUCCGAAAUAGCUUUAGGGCUAGCCUCAAGUGAUGAUUAUUGGAGGUAGAGCACUGUUUGGACGAGGGGCCCCUCUCGGGUUACCGAAUUCAGACAAACUCCGAAUGCCAAUUAAUUUAACUUGGGAGUCAGAACAUGGGUGAUAAGGUCCGUGUUCGAAAGGGAAACAGCCCAGACCACCAGCUAAGGUCCCAAAAUAUAUGUUAAGUGGAAAAGGAUGUGGCGUUGCCCAGACAACUAGGAUGUUGGCUUAGAAGCAGCCAUCAUUUAAAGAGUGCGUAAUAGCUCACUAGUCGAGUGACACUGCGCCGAAAAUGUACCGGGGCUAAACAUAUUACCGAAGCUGUGGAUUGUCCUUUGGACAAUGGUAGGAGAGCGUUCUAAGGGCGUUGAAGCAUGAUCGUAAGGACAUGUGGAGCGCUUAGAAGUGAGAAUGCCGGUGUGAGUAGCGAAAGACGGGUGAGAAUCCCGUCCACCGAUUGACUAAGGUUUCCAGAGGAAGGCUCGUCCGCUCUGGGUUAGUCGGGUCCUAAGCUGAGGCCGACAGGCGUAGGCGAUGGAUAACAGGUUGAUAUUCCUGUACCACCUAUAAUCGUUUUAAUCGAUGGGGGGGACGCAGUAGGAUAGGCGAAGCGUGCGAUUGGAUUGCACGUCUAAGCAGUAAGGCUGAGUAUUAGGCAAAUCCGGUACUCGUUAAGGCUGAGCUGUGAUGGGGAGAAGACAUUGUGUCUUUGAGUCGUUGAUUUCACACUGCCGAGAAAAGCCUCUAGAUAGAAAAUAGGUGCCCGUACCGCAAACCGACACAGGUAGUCAAGAUGAGAAUUCUAAGGUGAGCGAGCGAACUCUCGUUAAGGAACUCGGCAAAAUGACCCCGUAACUUCGGGAGAAGGGGUGCUCUUUAGGGUUAACGCCCAGAAGAGCCGCAGUGAAUAGGCCCAAGCGACUGUUUAUCAAAAACACAGGUCUCUGCUAAACCGUAAGGUGAUGUAUAGGGGCUGACGCCUGCCCGGUGCUGGAAGGUUAAGAGGAGUGGUUAGCUUCUGCGAAGCUACGAAUCGAAGCCCCAGUAAACGGCGGCCGUAACUAUAACGGUCCUAAGGUAGCGAAAUUCCUUGUCGGGUAAGUUCCGACCCGCACGAAAGGCGUAACGAUUUGGGCACUGUCUCAACGAGAGACUCGGUGAAAUCAUAGUACCUGUGAAGAUGCAGGUUACCCGCGACAGGACGGAAAGACCCCGUGGAGCUUUACUGUAGCCUGAUAUUGAAAUUCGGCACAGCUUGUACAGGAUAGGUAGGAGCCUUUGAAACGUGAGCGCUAGCUUACGUGGAGGCGCUGGUGGGAUACUACCCUAGCUGUGUUGGCUUUCUAACCCGCACCACUUAUCGUGGUGGGAGACAGUGUCAGGCGGGCAGUUUGACUGGGGCGGUCGCCUCCUAAAAGGUAACGGAGGCGCUCAAAGGUUCCCUCAGAAUGGUUGGAAAUCAUUCAUAGAGUGUAAAGGCAUAAGGGAGCUUGACUGCGAGACCUACAAGUCGAGCAGGGUCGAAAGACGGACUUAGUGAUCCGGUGGUUCCGCAUGGAAGGGCCAUCGCUCAACGGAUAAAAGCUACCCCGGGGAUAACAGGCUUAUCUCCCCCAAGAGUUCACAUCGACGGGGAGGUUUGGCACCUCGAUGUCGGCUCAUCGCAUCCUGGGGCUGUAGUCGGUCCCAAGGGUUGGGCUGUUCGCCCAUUAAAGCGGUACGCGAGCUGGGUUCAGAACGUCGUGAGACAGUUCGGUCCCUAUCCGUCGUGGGCGUAGGAAAUUUGAGAGGAGCUGUCCUUAGUACGAGAGGACCGGGAUGGACAUACCUCUGGUGUACCAGUUGUCGUGCCAACGGCAUAGCUGGGUAGCUAUGUGUGGACGGGAUAAGUGCUGAAAGCAUCUAAGCAUGAAGCCCCCCUCAAGAUGAGAUUUCCCAACUUCGGUUAUAAGAUCCCUCAAAGAUGAUGAGGUUAAUAGGUUCGAGGUGGAAGCAUGGUGACAUGUGGAGCUGACGAAUACUAAUCGAUCGAAGACUUAAUCAA